UACAGAGGUCUCAAGCGUUGUUCGGAUUCAUUGGGCGUAAAGGGUGUGUAGGUGGCGCGCUAAGUCGGGUGUGAAAUUUCGGAGCUUAACUCCGAAACUGCAUUCGAUACUGGCGUGCUUGAGGACUGGAGAGGAGACUGGAAUUCAUGGUGUAGCAGUGAAAUGCGUAGAGAUCAUGAGGAAGACCAGUGGCGAAGGCGGGUCUCUGGACAGUUCCUGACACUGAGACACGAAAGGCCAGGGGAGCAAAACAGG
rnacentral:rRNA from 1 species